CACGGGGGGAGCAAGCGUUGUUCGGAAUCACUGGGCGUAAAGGGCGUGUAGGCGGUUCGGUAAGUGGAAAUGUGAAAUGCUCCGGCUCACCCGGAGUACUGCAUCCCAAACUGCCGAGCUUGAGUAUGGGAGAGGAUGAGGGAAUUCCUGGUGUAGCGGUGAAAUGCGUAGAUAUCAGGAGGAACACCGGUGGCGAAGGCGCUCAUCUGGCCCAAUACUGACGCUGAGGCGCGAAAGCUAGGGGAGCAAACGGG
rnacentral:rRNA from 1 species